UUUGUUCCAACAGUGCAAUUCUUUUUUUUAAAUCGCUGGACCAUUUCAGCGCUAGAGUAAACUAAAAGCCGCUUCUAAUGCCGUGAAUGCCGACAACGGGGACGGAUUUCAGGUACGGGACAGCUAUAGGAAAGCUGUUUAUUUUACAUAUAAACGUGUUUCUUAGGAUGACCUUAAUCCACAUUUCACGUUGCGAAAAGGUGAUUUAGGCCCCAUACGAACUGGUAGUGUUUUUCCUGCCGAUAUGGGGUUUAAAUUCACCGCAAACCGCAACGUUCCAAAUGAUCGCGUUCCAGAAAUACCCACUCGCAAGAUGAUUUAAAUGGCCAUUAAUUUACAGGAAUUAAACACUACAUUCCUUCCAUUUGGCCUAUAAAUUCAUGACAAUGAGAUUUAAAAAUCAUGUUAUAUUGUGAAUUCUUGUGUGAAUGUUAUUUGGACACUUAGGCUAUUUAAAAAUUGUAAUCUUUUCUUAAGAAAUAGAUAGAUGUUUAGAUCUAGUGAUUGAAUUUUGUAAUUCGCCACAAUUGGGUAACUAACUAAUUAAAUGCUUUAAUUUCAGGUCAUCCAAGUAAGAUUGUUUCAUAUUUGUUUCAGAAUGCUUCAAUCUAUAAUAACUGAACAUUUUUAAGAAAGUUAUGGGCUUUUGACUGUCCUUGAUCACAGCUUUUGUGUUAAGUCAAUGGAAAAGCAAUAGGGAACAAGAUGCUAAUUUCCGAGUAUGAAAAUGGCCAUAACCUUUUUAAUAUUAAAGAUAUGAAAGUAAAUUAGGUGUCAAAUUAAACUUCUUUUUAUGCUUUAUCUGAUGGGAUAAAUUGCAGACUUGAUUUUUUAAAUCUCAAAAUUUUGUAACAUUGCUACUUAAAGCAUAGAAACCUGCUCAGUGGCCCAACUUGCCCACACCGACCAACAUUUCCCAUUUACACUAAUCCCACCUGGCUGCGUUUGGUUCAUACCCCUCUAAACCUAUCCUAUCCAUCUUAUCCCUCUAACCCUAUCCUAUCCAUGUACCUGUCUAAAUGUUUCUUAAAUGUUGCGAUACCACCUGCCUCAGCUACCUCCUCUGGCAGCUCGUCCCAUACAUCCACUAUCCUUUGAGUAAAAAAGUUGCUCCUCAGGUUCCUAUUAAAUCUUCCCCCCCUCACCUUAAGCCUAUGCCCUCUGACCUUGAGCUAAUAAACCAGUGACUUGAAUCUGCAACUCACCAUAUCACCAAGAACAAUGAUUUGUGUUGUUCUUUCCCCCACUUCACCACUCAGUUUCCCCGUUCCCAGUUGCAAGUCUAUCUGCAUGAUGAUUGCACUGAACAUCAUCCUUGCACCAUUUUUCUACGACAGUUCCUGUUUUUUAAGACUUUAGAAAGAUACAGCUCGGAAACAGGCCCUUCAGCCCACCAAGUCCGCGCCAACUGGUAAUUACCCCACACAACAGCAUUAUCCUUCACACCGCACCGACCAGCGAUCACCAAUACACUAGUUCUAUCCUACAUGCCAGGGACAAUUUACAGAAGCCAAUUAACCUACAAACCCAUUAAAUAUGGGAGGAAGCCAGAGCACCCAGAGAAAACCCACGCGGUCAUGGGAGAACAUACAAACUCUCAACAGACAGCACCCCUGGUCAUGAUCGCAACUGGGUCCCUGGCACGGUAAGGCAGCAGCUCCACGCCACUGUGCUGUGUUAUUUUUAUUCAUUACAGCUUUAUCCUGUAGGGGUCGAUUGUGUAAUUCUCCCCAAGGAAUAAUGCCCUACCCCCGCUCCCAGAGGCCUCGCUUGCACUUUUCAAAAGCAUGGAGCGGGUUGCAAUGAAGCAAAUUAGAGGCAAAGAGUCAAACAAUUAAGCCAUUGUUCACAGCAUUCAUACAUUUAAACAAGCUCGCUAUAAAUGUAGGAGGUUUCAAGUUUUCAAACAAUGACCCUUAGAAAUGGGACAGUCAGCCCUUUAUUCAUCCCGCACUAAAAUCAUUCUUGCAUUUGCAAAACAAUUUUAAAAGUUCUGAAAUUCAGGUCCUUUUCUCUGGUAAUUUGCCAUUUCCACAGUGUCUACAAAUUCUUCAUUGGCCUGUCAGUCAAACAAAGCCAGACUUUUCAUCUGGAACAUGAUCCUUAAAUGAGCCCACCGUUCAUCUCAAGAAUGUACAACAGUUACACCAUCCUGCCUUGGAGGGAACUUGCUACACUUUAUUUCACAAGAUGCUGCCUGAUGCAGUGAAUUCCUCCAGCACUUCGUGUCAUUUGAAAGUCAGAUCUCAGAAGAUGUUUCACGCAAGUAUUGUCAAACCAAACUGAAAGCCAGGCUACAGAUGGAGAAAAUACUAAAGUGCCAAAUAGCUUUAAGAUGCUAUCUGACCCAUUGAAUUCUUCCAGUACAUUGUGUUUGGUCUCAGGAAUGGAAAGUGGACACCUUGCAGCUAAGCAACUCAUUGAUGUUCUUGCUUUGUUCUCUAUUCAGCAUUGCAUGCUGCUCCCUUGUGAAUUUCCCAAACAGUAAACCAUCAGACCAUUUUCCCUCUGAUGGGAUAUUAGCUCGUCCAAGUUGGAACUUGCUUCCGACUCCCAGGCUAAUAACUGCCCUCUAUUCUUUGCCUAUUGCUUCUUCAGAAGCAUCAUAUUUCUUCUGUAUAAUUGUGCUUUGACUCCUCACAGGUGGCUGAUUGCAUUCAUGUCUCCAAACCAGCAGGUCGUAGGUUCAAAUCCCACUCCUGGGACUACUGGGGCGUGCACAAAAACCACGACUGACAUUCCAGUGCAGUACUUUGAGGCAACACAGCUGUGUUGGGGGUAACAUCAUUCCAAUGAAAUGUUAAAUUGUGUCCCCCACCAUCUCCAAAAUAGAAUUAAAAUAUUCUGUGGCAAUAUUUUAAAUGAUGCCCUGUGUAAAGUAAUCUUGCUUGAAUUCCCCACCACAUUUAUUGCUAACUAAUUUAAAAUCUACGUUGGCAUGUUGGCGUGCGUACUCCACAUGAGAUUUUUGUUCCCAUGUAUGUAUAUCCUUUUAGCUUAAAUCUUAUUGUCCUCUCUUGUCCUCAUAUUCCUGUGCAGCUGGAGGACUGCUCCAACAAAAUUUUGUUGUCUUGUACAAUGACAAUAAAGAUUAUUAUUAUUAUUAUUA